GCUAGAUCCACCACCAAGCUUGCAAGCAGAAGAGGCAGCAAGUGAUGCUGAAGGCUGUGCUGCAGCCACUUCACCGGAACCUAGAGCUACCUGUGAACAGGUCUCCUACACGUUGAAGAUUUUUCUGGAUUUAGGGUGUCUAACCUUUGAUGGGAAAGGGCAGCUUCAUCUUGGAGUGUUUACUUUCAAGAAUUGCUAUGGGCUAAAAAUCAAUUCUCUUUAAAAGCAAAGAUUUAAUCUGAUAAGGAAUCAAUGCAGCAUGCUAAAUACCUUUCAUAUGGCAUGAAAACGUCUUCAGUUACUCAAGCCACAGGCAAUGAGAAUAAGGUGCCACAGCACCGUAUUUUUCACAAAAAGAGUGACCUGGGAUUCAAGAAACCUGUAUAGUAUAACUAUCGCCAGUUCGUUUUGUGGCUUUGGGCAAGUCACUUCACCUUUUGUGAAAGUCUGGAGCUUCUUUAAAAUUUCUGAACUGCAUUAGAUAACGCUUUAAAAAUAUACCUGACAUUCUGUAACUUUAAAUAAAUGAAAAAUGCCAAUCUAUUAAGUGCUUAAUUUUGUGCCGGGCACGAUUUCAAAUUCUUUCCUUAUUUCACUUAGUUAUAAAAUGGAGGCACAAGAAGUUUCCUAAGUAGUCCAGUAUGGCAGAGCUAGUGAUGGAGUCAGGGUAAAACCUACUUCGAGUCUGGUCUUAACCACGAUGAUGCUCCUUCGACGAUUUCUUCGAGUACUGGGCCCUGUUCAACCUCAUCUUGGUAUCACUAAACGCUCGUGUGUGUGUCUGGUGGUUACAUCUUCCCAAACUGGAUUUUAAAUGAAUACAGUGAACCCUAACGUUUUUCUGGUGUGGAUAGUAAGUAGGCCCAUUGGAUUAACAAUACUUAAGCUUGGGUAAUUGAAAGCAUUUUUUAAAAUGAAGACGGUCCUAUUUUGGAAAUGCAGAAAGGCGAGAUGAAAGCCAAACUCUGGGCCUUGACUGGAAUUUGCAAGAGACUUCCCCCUUCAAAUGGAAGGUGCACAGUAUCAUCAUCAUCUUGAAGCAUCCGUUCAGCUUCCUUUAUAACACAUGUGUGAAGAGGUUACUUUUCC
rnacentral:lncRNA from 10 species